rnacentral:rRNA from 1 species
UCCAGACUCCUACGGGAGGCAGCAGUGGGGAAUAUUGGGCAAUGGGCGCAAGCCUGACCCAGCAACGCCGCGUGAAGGAAGAAGGCUUUCGGGUUGUAAACUUCUUUUGUCAGGGACGAAGCAAGUGACGGUACCUGACGAAUAAGCCACGGCUAACUACGUGCCAGCAGCCGCGGUAAUACGUAGGGAGCAAGCGUUAUCCGGAUUUACUGGGUGUAAAGGGCGCGUAGGCGGGAUGGCAAGUCAGAUGUGAAAUCCAGGGGCUCAACCCCUGAACUGCAUUUGAAACUGUCGUUCUUGAGUACUGGAGAGGUUGGCGGAAUUCCUAGUGUAGCGGUGAAAUGCGUAGAUAUUAGGAGGAGCACCAGUGGCGAAGGCGGUCAACUGGACAGCAACUGACGCUGAGGCGCGAAAGCGUGGGGAGCAAACAGGAUUAGAUACCCCGGUA